rnacentral:rRNA from 1 species
UAGUAACACGUGGGUGAUCUGCCCUGCACUUCGGGAUAAGCUUGGGAAACUGGGUCUAAUACCGGAUAGGAGCCAUCUUUAGUGUGUGUGGUGGAAAGUUUUUCGGUGUAGGAUGAGCCCGCGGCCUAUCAGCUUGUUGGUGGGGUAAUGGCCUACCAAGGCGGCGACGGGUAGCCGGACUGAGAGGUUGGUCGGCCACAUUGGGACUGAGAUACGGCCCAG